AUCUACUGAUGAACCCACAAUUCAAGCUGGAGAAACUACAUCUAUAUCACUGUGGCAUUACAGAUGUUUCUUCUUUAACUCAGUCUUUGACGAACUCAAAAGCUCUGCAGUUUUUAAAAGAGCUUGAUCUGAGAGACAAUAAGAUCGGAGACUCAAAGCAGCGGCUCAGAGACGAGCUACGAGACUCAAACUGUGUCCUGAGUAUAUGAAUGUAGAUUAAGAUCAAU